GCCGGGGUGGUGGAAUUGGUAGACACGCACGUUUGAGGGGCGUGUGGGGAAACCCGUACGAGUUCAAGUCUCGUCCCCGGCACCA
rnacentral:tRNA from 1 species